GAUGAAGAACGUAGCGAAAUGCGAUAAGUAAUGUGAAUUGCAGAAUUCAGUGAAUCAUCGAAUCUUUGAACGCACAUUGCGCCCCUUGGUAUUCCGAGGGGCAUGCCUGUUCGAGCGUCAUUAUAACCCCUCAAGCUCAGCUUGGUGUUGGGGCCUGCUGCACUGGCAGCCCUUAAAAUCAGUGGCGGCGCCAUCUGGCCCUAAGCGUAGUAAUUCUUCUCGCUAUGGAGUCCUGGUGGAUGCUUGCCAUCAACCCCCAAUUUUUCUAUGGUUGACCUCGGAUCAGGUAGGGAUACCCGCUGAACUUAAGCAUAUCAAUAAGCGGAGGA
rnacentral:misc_RNA from 1 species